AAAUAGUUUUAGAAGAUACUUUUAAAUUUCUUUGUGUGAAGGUCUUGGGUUGAACAAAAACUACACACUAGUAAUCAUCUCUUUUAUAGUGACCAUAUAUUUCAGGCCCUGCUAUUAAAACAUUUUCCCUUCUAGGUCCUACAACGUGACUUUAAAAAGACAGCAGAAAGCAAAAAUGUCCCAUUGGAACAAGAAGCCACUAGUAAAAAUGACCAAGAUAACUCUCCUGUGAAACCCUGUUACCUCAAUAUCUUGGAAGAUGAGCAACCUUUAAAUAGUGCUGCCCAUAAGGACUCACCUGCUACUGUUGAUUCAACUCAACAGCCUAACCCUUUGCCGUUACGUUUACCUGAAAUGGAACCGUUAGUGCCUAGAGUCAAAGAAGUUAAAUCUGCUCAGGAAACUCCUGAAAGCUCUCUGGCUGGAAGUCCUGAUACUGAAUCUCCAGUGUUAGUGAAUGACUAUGAAGCAGAAUCUGGUAAUAUAAGUCAAAAGUCUGAUGAAGAAGAUUUUGUAAAAGUUGAAGAUUUACCACUGAAACUGACAAUAUAUUCAGAGGCAGAUCUAAGGAAGAAAAUGGUAGAAGAAGAACAGAAAAACCAUUUAUCUGGUGAAAUAUGUGAAAUGCAGACUGAAGAAUUAGCUGGAAAUUCUGAGAUACUAAAAGAACCUGAAACGGUGGGAGCCCAGAGUGUAUGAGAUGUCUUCAGAGGCUCAUCUAACUCUGUCCUUACAUACUCAAUGCAUAUAUGAAAACAAUACUAAAUAAACAUCUGAUCUGUAUAAAAAUGUAAA
rnacentral:sRNA from 1 species